GAGGUAAGUUUAGUGUUCAAGCGGGAAGGACAGGGAACCCCAGGGAUAGCUGCUCCCUUCCAGAAUGUUUCCCUUCACCCUUACCACAAUGAAGGGGCUGGUAGACGGCCCUAUGAACAGCUUCGGAACAUUUCUGUACAAACCCCAGCUCCUCAUUUCAGUUUCCGCUGACAGUGUUGUAGCAGAGACUUGGGGAAACAGCUGCUUUGUCCCACUGCUGUGCGCUGUUGCCAGUUCGGGGCACAGCGGCGACAAGGCCGCGUGUGGAGACGCUGCACAACAAACACGCCGUGUGGACCGGGCUCUAAGUCAGCCCGCUAGCGCCGUUUUCCUGCUGCCCAGUAACGCUGGCAAGGUCGCUCCUCUCUGCGGCCGCUCCUUUAAGGGGAGGUCGCCGCAACCCGCACGGGUGUGUGAGGAGAGGGAGAGAAGGAGCCGGAGGAUCGAGUCGGAGAGAUAUGUUGCGGACAAGAGAGCUCUUUAGCUGCUGACUGACAUUUUGCAAGCUGGUCGGUAGGUACAUCUCAAGGCUCUGUAUAAAUAUCUGGAGAGCAUGUACAGGUAAGUUUGAACACAGAGUUGGCUGUGUGCUGGUGUCAGCCAGGAAAAUGUGUUGAUGGCUCCCUGGCCUGCUCCCCCAGGCUGACACAUUUCUGCUGUGUAGGUAAAACAACAUAUGGGGUCCUUUUCUGCAGUCUUAGUAAAACAUUAUUUGGAAGUACUUACAUGGACACAGUCUUUUUCCUGCUGCAAACUUCCAGCAAUGCUUCUAUUUAGAUGGGAAAAAAUGACAUGUCAGUGAUCCUCAUUUCUACAGAAACUCCAAAAGAAACCUGGUUACUUACAUACAGAAUCUUUUUUUUUUUCAUUUUAGCUGAAGAUACUAAUAACUGGAAAAAACCCCACAUCCUUAUUUCUUCCGCACGUGUGGAAGACUUAUCACUUCUAGAAGGAAUGAUAAUUACCCUCACAGCUAUUAUUCCUUAAGUACCCAGAAAGCCUGAGUUCAAAAGAAAACAAAAAAAAUUCCAUCGUGCUUUAGGAAUUUUUUUACUUCCUUCUAUUCUCUCUCUCCUCUCACAGUCCUUAAAAAUUUAAUCUUCUAGUGGGCUGUAAUGGCAUUGCUGUUGUUUUCCUGAACAGUUAUGAGUUGAGGUAGGGGGAGUAAGCAAAGGGUGGAGCACAGUUUCAGUGGGAGUUUUGGAAAGGCUUUGAAGUGCCCUUUAGAAUGCAGUGAACCGCUUGUAGAACUGGUGUUGGAAAUUCUGGUGCUGAAUAAAAAAGAAUUAUUUUCAAAGCA
rnacentral:lncRNA from 1 species